UACGGGGGGGGCAAGCGUUGUUCGGAAUUACUGGGCGUAAAGGGCUCGUAGGCGGCCAACUAAGUCGGACGUGAAAUCCCUCGGCUUAACCAGGGAACUGCGUCCGAUACUGGAUGGCUAGAGUUCGGGAGAGGGAUGCGGAAUUCCAGGUGUAGCGGUGAAAUGCGUAGAUAUCUGGAGGAACACCGGUGGCGAAGGCGGCAUCCUGGACCGACACUGACGCUGAGGAGCGAAAAGCCAGGGGAGCAAACGGGGAUUAAGAUACCCCU
rnacentral:rRNA from 1 species